AGAGAACAAACUACCAAUUAACGAGCGAGGAAACAGGGCCAGAGAAUUGGAACAAAAUACAAGGCUGCCUCUGAAAGGAAUAUCUUUGUGCUGAUGUGUCCAUCAAGAGAACAUACACAGAAGUGACACUUGCCAGUAAUUUGCAAGCAGAUGGAACUUCAAUAUGGCAAUAGAGAAAGAAUCAAUUAGACCAGAGUCUCCUCAGGAAGACUUUCUAUAGGUGGACGGUCCCCUGGAGAGCCCGCUGUGUUGGAAGAUGUAGAAUAUUCAUAUAUCUGGUGAGCAUCUGCUAGAUGCCAGGGUUGGGGAGAGUCAAGUUGAAGCAAGCAUGAACCCUCAAGGACCUACCAUUUCAAGGCAAGAAAUAGAUACAAAUACAGAAAAUAUUUACUGGAUAGCUACUAGACAUAAGGAUGCAGAAAUGAAUUAGAAAAAUUCCUCGCCCUUGUUCAAAGCUAUGCUGGCUCUUAGAACAUCUGAGCCCCCACUGUUUCAUCUUUAGAGGAUCCCAGCUGCUGGGGUGUGAGGCCAGUGCUGGAGCCAGCAGUCUCUGACCCAGAAGGGACCUGAGGUGCUAAAGAAAAUGUCACAGAUGGAGUCCAAAAACAAAAUAACGGCCUGCUCCAUUCUGAUUCAAGUUCUCAUUUGCCUGUGCCCUGCUUUCCCAAGAGCCUAGUGACUGAUUGCAGACCCUUGAUUUCUGUGAGCUUAGACUAAUAGGUAUUGCAGGCAUACAUUCUGGGCUGAAGAUAACCAGAAAGCCAGCAACCUGAUGGGAGGAACAUUCAUUGCACAAGCUGAGAGUGAAAUGAGCUUCUACAUCAGGAUAUUUAACACAGACACAGAGAGGACGGUGCCACUGGAAGUCAUGCAGCCGCAAGUCAAGAAAUGUCAUGAGUGGCUCCUCUCCAGAAACUAGGAGAGGAGCAUGGGGCAGGUUUUCUCCUAGUGCCUUCAGAGACACAUGGCCCUGCCGACACCUUGAGUUUGGAUUUUUGGCCUCCAGAACUGGGUACAAGCUGGAAAAGGGGAAAAUGAAUCAUGCUACAGGCCAAGUGUCCAUCACUGAUUCCCAGAGAUGCCCUUUGUGUGGUAGGCACUUCCAUGUGGACUCGCUACAGAGUUUGGAGUUCCUGAACAACAUGGACAGUGUUAAUUUGGAUUCCAUGCUUCAUGGCACAGAAUUGGAGCACUAACUACUCAGUGAUGACUUUCUCUUCCUCUAGCUAAGGUGAUCAACAAGUUUCCUUGUUCUUUCUCCAAGUAGUAGAAGAAAGUAAAGGUCAUAAGACCCUAAUUCCAGAGGGCCCUACCCUAUAACCAGAAGGAAGAACUAUUGCACAGAGAAUCUAAGAAGAAUCUAGACAGACAGCCCUUGCUGGAUUUCUCCACUCUGUUAGCAUUCGAUCAUUUGCCUUUUGUCCAGUCAUAUUUCUGCAUGGCUGUCCAUACUUUGUUGAACCUAAGCACAAAAUGGAAAGUUUUCCCUGUAUCUUUGGGUCGUCAU
rnacentral:lncRNA from 1 species